GGACGUGGAGAGUGGGUCUUCCGGCGACUCCACCCUCUGUUGUUAAAACUACCUUGUUGCUUUGGCGGGACCGUCUCGGUCUCCGAGCGCACUAACCCUCGGGUUGGUGAGCGCCCGCCAGAGUCCAACCAAACUCUUGUAUUAAACCAGUCGUCUGAGUAUAAAAUUUUAAUUAAAUUAAAACUUUCAACAACGGAUCUCUUGGUUCUCGCAUCGAUGAAGAACGCAGCGAAAUGCGAUAAGUAAUGUGAAUUGCAGAAUUCAGUGAAUCAUCGAAUCUUUGAACGCACAUUGCGCCCCUUGGUAUUCCGAGGGGCAUGCCUGUUCGAGCGUCAUUACACCACUCAAGCAUCGCUUGGUAUUGGGAACGGUCCGUCGAAAGGCGGGCCUUCCUCGAAGACCUCGGCGGGGUUCAACCAACUUCGGGCGUAGUAGAGUUAAAUCGAACGUCUUAUAAGCUUGGUCGGAUCUCAUUGCCGUUAAACCUUUAAAUUUUCWAGGUUGACCUCGGAUCAGGUAGGGAUACCCGCUGAACUUAAGCAUAUCAAUAAGCGGAGGGGACGGAUCAUUAAGAGAUAGG
rnacentral:rRNA from 1 species